GACGAACGCUGGCGGCGUGCUUAACACAUGCAAGUCGAACGGAAAGGCCCUGCUUUUGUGGGGUGCUCGAGUGGCGAACGGGCGAGUAACACGUGAGUAACGUGCCCUUGACUUUGGGAUAACUUCAGGAAACUGGGGCUAAUACCGGAUAGGAGCUCCUGCUGCAUGGUGGGGGUUGGAAAGUUUCGGCGGUUGGGGAUGGACUCGCGGCUUAUCAGCUUGUUGGUGGGGUAGUGGCUUACCAAGGCUUUGACGGGUAGCCGGCCUGAGAGGGUGACCGGCCACAUUGGGACUGAGAUACGGCCCAGACUCCUACGGGAGGCAGCAGUGGGGAAUAUUGCACAAUGGGCGGAAGCCUGAUGCAGCAACGCCGCGUGCGGGAUGACGGCCUUCGGGUUGUAAACCGCUUUCGCCUGUGACGAAGCGUGAGUGACGGUAAUGGGUAAAGAAGCACCGGCUAACUACGUG
rnacentral:rRNA from 1 species